AUUGAACGCUGGCGGCAGGCCUAACACAUGCAAGUCGAGCGAGCGGCGGACGGGUGAGUAAUGUAUGGGAAUCUGCCCGAUAGAGGGGGAUAACUACUGGAAACGGUGGCUAAUACCGCAUACUAUCGGAUGAACCCAUAUGGGAUUAGCUAGUAGGUGGGGUAAAGGCUCACCAAGGCGACGAUCUCUAGCUGGUCUGAGAGGAUGAUCAGCCACACUGGGACGGAGACACGGCCCAGACUCCUACGGGAGGCAGCAGUGGGGAAUAUUGCGCAAUGGGCGCAAGCCUGACGCAGCCAUGCCGCGUGUAUGAAGAAGGCCUUCGGGUUGUAAAGUACUUUCAGCGUGGAGGCGUUACCUACAGAAGAAGCACCGGCUAACUCCGUGCCAGCAGCCGCGGUAAUUC
rnacentral:rRNA from 1 species